rnacentral:rRNA from 1 species
CAAGUCGAACGGAAAUCAAGGUGUAGCAAUACAUCGGGGUUUUAGUGGCGAAAGGGUGCGUAACACGUAGCUACUUACCUUCAAGUGGGGGAUAACGCCGAGAAAUCGGUGCUAAUACCGCAUGUGGACGAAAGUCUAGGACUGGGGAUCGCAAGACCUGGUGCUUGAAGAUGGGGCUGCGGCCUAUCAGCUAGUUGGCGGGGUAACGGCCCACCAAGGCUUAGACGGGUAGCUGGUCUGAGAGGACGACCAGCCACACUGGAACUGAGACACGGUCCAGACACCUACGGGUGGCAGCAGUCGAGGAUUUUUCUCAAUGGGGGAAACCCUGAAGGAGCGACGCCGCGUGAGGGAUGAAGGUCUUCGGAUUGUAAACCUCUGUCAUCUGGGAACAAUGCGCUCCACCUAACACGUGGAUCGUUGAUAGUACCGGAAGAGGAAGCAGUGGCUAACUCUGUGCCAGCAGCCGCGGUAAUACAGAGACUGCAAGCGUUGUUCGGAUUCAUUGGGCGUAAAGGGUGCGCAGGCGGUGUGCUAAGUCGGAUGUGAAAUCUCACAGCCUAACUGUGAUAGGUCAUUCGAAACUGGCAUGCUAGAGGACUGGAGAGGAGACUGGAAUAGUCGGUGUAGCGGUGAAAUGCGUAGAGAUCGACUAGAACACCGGUGGCGAAGGCGGGUCUCUGGACAGUUCCUGACGCUCAGGCACGAAAGCCAGGGGAGCAAACGGGAUUAGAUACCCCGGUAGUCCUGGCCCUAAACGGUGUUCACUUGGUGUGCGGGGAGUCGACCCCCUGCGUGCCGAAGCUAACGCGAUAAGUGAACCGCCUGGGAAGUACGGUCGCAAGAUUAAAACUCAAAGAAAUUGACGGGGGCCCGCACAAGCGGUGGAACAUGUGGCUUAAUUCGAUGCAACGCGAAGAACCUUACCUGGCCUUGACAUCUAUCGUGAAGGUGAUGAAGUCAUCGACGGCCCGAAAGGGUGCUGGGGA